CUGAGGCGGAAAGGAGAGGGCUCUACCUCUCCCCAAGAGGAGGCCAGGAACGAUAGGAAGUAGAAGACCGAAAGGAAAUAGCAGUGACAAGUUUGCAGCUCCAGAGAAGCCACCGCCCCUUGUACUUGGAGGAACUGACCCCUGAAAACUGUGCGGCCGGUUGGGCUGAGCGUCUAGAGGGACUGAGCUGGACAACCACGGGCAAGCGAGGGCAGCUCCCAGCGGGUGGAGUCCGCGCGGGAUUCUGGUGCCACCUAGACGCCAGGGCGGGGACCGCAAGGCAAGGGCAACAGAAAACGCAAAGUGUCCUUUCCAGGAGGGCCAAAGGAGGGGGGCAGGGACGCUGGGAAGAGGCGCCAAAGCGGAGGACGGCUGCAGGGGUGACUUCAGCGCUUGGCUACCAAGACCAGGUGUUUCUCUUCCUCCUGCCCUGGGUACCAUCCCACAGAGAGGCCAGGCCCACCUGCAGGUCCUCACCUCCACAGAGCCAGCCU
rnacentral:lncRNA from 1 species